CAAGUGAACGAGGAUAUCGGUGUAGCAAUACAUCGGCGGUCCUAGUGGCGCACGGGUGAGUAACACGUGGGUAACCUGUCCUUGAGUUCGGGAUACCCUCUCGAAAGGGAGGCUAAUACCGGAUACGUUCCUCGGAUUGCGAAGUCUGGGGAGGAAAGGUGGCGAAAGCUGCCGCUCGUGGAGGGGCUCGCGGCCUAUCAGCUAGUUGGUGAGGUAAUGGCUCACCAAGGCUAUGACGGGUAGCUGGUCUGAGAGGACGACCAGCCACACGGGAACUGAGACACGGUCCCGACUCCUACGGGAGGCAGCAGUGGGGAAUUUUCCGCAAUGGGCGAAAGCCUGACGGAGUGACGCCGCGUGGGGGACGAAGGCCUUCGGGUUGUAAACCCCUGUCAGAGGGAAAGAAGGGUCAUGUGGCUAAUAUCCACGUGACUUGACGGUACCUUCAGAGGAAGCCCCGGCCAACUCUGUGCCAGCAGCCGCGGUAAGACAGAGGGGGCAAGCGUUGCUCGGAAUCACUGGGCGUAAAGGGCGCGUAGGCGGGAUGGCAAGUCAGUCGUGAAAUCUCUCGGCUCAACCGAGAAACGUCGGCUGAUACUGCCGUUCUUGAGGGAUGCAGAGGAGACUGGAAUUCCCGGUGUAGCGGUGAAAUGUGUAGAGAUCGGGAGGAACACCGGUGGCGAAGGCGGGUCUCUGGGCAUUUCCUGACGCUGAGGCGCGAAAGCGUGGGGAGCAAACGGGAUUAGAUACCCCGGUAGUCCACGCUGUAAACGAUGACGACUAGUGUGGGGGUGGGUUAAUUCCAUUCCGUGCCGCAGCUAACGCAUUAAGUCGUCCGCCUGGGGAGUACGGCCGCAAGGUUGAAACUCAAAGGAAUUGACGGGGGCCGCACAAGCGGUGGAGCAUGUGGUUCAAUUC
rnacentral:rRNA from 1 species